GGGGCCACAGGCCUCCUUAGGACAGAUUUCUGGUUCUGCCACAGAAGUUUCCCUCAGUCUCUGACUAUUGUCUCCGGAGGAAUCUCUUCAUUGUACAGGUGAGAACAACUGAGGCUCUUCGAGACUGCAGAGUUUGACCAGCCUCACACAGCUGGUAAAUACCCGGCCGGGGCCUGAAAUGAGAUUUGGAUGACUCAGAACCCCGCACUGUGAAAGGGGAUGGGCUGUUUCCUUUCAUCUUGGGAGGAAAUGUUGCUCCCGAAGAGAAAACAGAGCAGGUGACCACUCCACCUCUGGUUUGCUCCUGAUAUUGGAACUGCCCUCCAGCUUGGAUUUCCCUGGACAGUAGUAAGAUGGCCCAGCUUGCCUCCUUUCUAGUGACGGGGAUUCCCUCUGACUCCAGCCUGGUUUCCUCGCCAGCUUCUUUAUGAUGAACCCCAUCCUCACCCAGGUGGGCUCAGUCGUCCUAAAUCUCAAAAACUCAACAAUCCAAAAAUAGUUUGUCUUUCCAAGAGCCCCAUGGGAUGUCAACUCUGGCCUUCCUGGAGAUGGAUCUGGCCAUUGGGAAUGGUGCUGGUACUCUGCACCGUCACAGAACGUGCCAAGAGCAAUGGAAUUUCUGGCCUGGCCUCCGCUAGGGUCUCGGUAGGUGGAGCCCCAGGCAGGUCUUUCUGGGGCUCUCUUGCCUGCCAAGUUGGUGUGACCUUGGGACAUGGUGAAAGGUAGAGCUUUUUGGUUAGCUAUUUUGCAGGGCUUUUGGAUUCUCUUGCUUUCUUUCCCCUUUGGCUUCUAUUUGCAGAGAGACUCGGCUUUGAACCCAAAUGCAUUGAGGCAUGGGUGCCGGGAGCAGCCAGGCUCAUUAACCGGAAUCCUGCAAGUGAAUGCAAAAGUGUGAACACAGUAACAGUGCUGAGGCAAAAAAGGACACAGCUUCUCAGCGUCUGACGUCCGCCUGUCAGACUUCUUGGCCCUCGGGCUGGAAAAGCUCUGGAGUUCUCAGGAAUCCUUGCAAGCCUGGCUCCGAGGGGAUGCUCACCCAUGCAGACCACAGGGAGGAGCGAGAAGCCUUCAAGGCGCAGACCAGGUUGGACUAGAUUCAGAAGCCUAAUUACCACCAGAAAAUUAAAGAAAGCACUUUUCCUGUCCAAGUCAAAACUGGUUCUCUUCCACAUCCAAAGUGUGUGGGGACGACAAGAGACACUGGCUCAUCACCCGGCUCCUAGAGAAACACAAUGAAGGUAACCUUAAGGCGAGAGCUUCCUUUUUCCUGGCUUUGGAAAGGAGCCCAGCCAAGUGAGUGACCUGGGAGCUUAAGCUUCAACGGCUUCGUGGUAAAUGGUAAGUCUACCUCUGCCUUCCACGUAGGCAACCACCAGGGUCUGCUGGCAUAACGUCCGGAGAGUCAGAAAUCACCAGGAGUGGUGAACUGAGGACGGUCUAGAACCAGGGAUUGGUUUGGAUCGGAGGAACCACACCAAAGCUGGUUUCCAGGAGGACCCGGACUUGGGAGCAGAAUGGAGACAGGAGGCACGAGGUCCCGGAGGAAGUGCUACGAUGUCUGGUGAGCAAGGAGAUGUAGCAGAUGUGCAGGGGCCAAUACUGAUGCAUUCCAGAUGGUCACGGCUGGACCAGCAGGCAGAUGGACAUUACUGAUGGGCAUGAGGAGUUUGGAAGGGUGGGAUUGUCACAUCCUGUCAGGGGCACAGCGCGACUUAAUGAAACUGGUCAAGAGGGGUUGAGAUCUGGGGUAGCUGAGCCCUCCGCCGGCGAAGGAUUCUUCUUUAGAGUGUGGCCAAGCUGGCCGGGAACCCAGUUUUUCUGACUCCUGUUUUUUUCUUUACUCCAGGCUGCUGCCCAAAUAAAACCUUUACCUCAAGCUACGCAUUCGAAACUGGAAGAAGGCAUUCGUUCUUGCCUAGGGAGAGCCUUCCUGGGAGGUGGCUCAUCAAACCCUCGUGUUUUUUUCCCUCCUGCCUCCCACAGACACCUGGUAUCAGUUCCAAAAGACGCAUUUUAGUGCCUUUAAGCAAAGCUAGUUCUUCUGCCUGGGCGAACUCUGACACUGAACUUUCUGUUUCCAGCCCCCUUAAAAAACCUUCAUCAAAUUUCCACCACGCAAAGGUUGAAGUGUUUCGGUCACCGAAGCGGUUCGGUGAUGAUCGUGGUGGCUGUUUCUUAAAGGGGAUACUCGUUCAUUCAUUCAUUCAUUCAUUAGUUCGUUCAUUCAACAGACACGUAGCAAAUUCUGCAGUGUGACAGACAUUGCGCCUGAAGGCAGAGCAAACACAGUCACCGUUGCGGCCAUCUCGGAGACUCGCAUCGAAUAAAUCACAAACAAACGUAAACUUGCCACACUCACCUGAAUAAAAGGCACAGACCUGACUUCUAUGUUCAGCCACUAUGCAAAUACGCUGCUGGGUCAGUGUGAAGGUAUUUAAAGGCGUCCACGUGACAUCCUCCUCAGAUGGCCCCCAUCCUGCCCUUCCCUCUGCUGACACAAAGGCCUUCUCACCCGUCAGAAGAUGAAGCCUUGUCCCUGCCUUGAAUGGGGCUGGCCUUGGAACUUGCUUUGAGCCCGAGAACACUGUGAAGGGAUCUGUGUGAGACAGUUUGGGGCCAACACCCUAAGAGAACUGAUGGCCUUCCACGACUUCCCUUCCCAAGUCAUCUGCCGCAGACAGAGCCCAAUAUCCCGAGACCACAGUGCUGUGAGGAGGCCAAGCCAGCAGCGGGGAGAGGCCACACGGAGAGAGGGAUGUUCAGCCGGGUCCCAGCUCUUCAGCCUUCCCAGCUGAGACGUCAGACGUGACUGAAGAAGGCCAUCUCCUCUCGGGGCAUUCUUCUCCCAGUGGACACCACGUGGAGCAGGAAAACCACCCAGAGGAAACCAGCGCACAUUGCAAAAGAAGAAUAAAUGGUUAUGAGGCAUUGGACAUGGUGAUCCCCUUUUGGGACAAGCUGGCUCCCACUGUAAACGGAGGACCCUUGAUGUCCUCCAUGGUGUGUGUGACGUAGGACUGCGAGAUUUAGCAAACGGAGAAACGAAACGGAGGGAGGGGCAGCAUUGACGGCUGAGAUGAAUGAUGUCCUGGCCUCACUGUUCCUGGAUGCAGGCCCCCAUCAACUGGGGCAACGUUGAGUGAGGCUCUGCUUCUUGCCACAUGGCACAGGGGCCAGUGAGCAGCCCGUUCCGAGUAGGAUGAUGUAUGUGGACGCGAGGAAUGCAUUUUCAUCAAUCACUUGAACUGAAGGCAUGCGUUUUUUGCUGGACUGAAAAUUGGUAUUUUUGUCUUUUUUUCAAGAGGAUUGUUGGAUCCGUGUGCUCAGAUUCAUAACUGGCAUUGCUCCCUUGUCUUGGAAACAGUGUGAGAGAGAACAUUGCGUUCUUGGAAUCAGAAACUGUUUCCCGAGUUCAGCCUUCAUCCACACAAGGUCUACGGGAAGAGGCAAAAUUUGAGAGAUGGGAAAUUGUGUCCAUGGAGUCAUCAAGGGGUCAUCACCGAGGUAGCAGAUUUAGGACCCAGGUGGAUGGGAUAAUUGCCACCUCUUCCCCCUGAACCAGCAAGUGUGCUUCCAAUUUCAUUAACAGAAAGGGGACCUGGGGAAGAAAAAUGGCUUUACCCUUAUGUAUCUUUUGGUCUGUUGCUGACUCUGCCACAGGCCUUUUGGGAUGUGAGAACGGUCUCAGUGUGUAUGCAGCCUGGCUUUUUUUUUUUUUUUUUUUUUUUUUAGCACUAUAUACUUCUUGUGGUCAUAGAGCCGUAAGUAAACGUGGAAAAGGUGACAGCCUGGGGACCUCAAGUUAGGAUUGCUGUACGGUGACAUUGAACAAUGGAGUGUCCCCAGUUCUCCCCAAUAAUUCACUGCGGACACUGACAGAACAUGUGUCUGUUGAUGGCAGGGUUGGGGUAGUUUGGGGUGGACUGAAGGCAAAGGCUCUCAGUGCCCUCCAAGAUGCUGGUGAGUUCAGAGGACUAAGAUAUUCAAUCAUUGUAGGGCAACAGACUCUUUAAUACCACGGAAAGUUGGCAAAACCUUGUGAACCUGUGUGAAUCAGAUACACUGGCUCAAAGUAGAUGAAAUGGAUCAGUUCACAUAACUUGGCCUAGUGUUAGGGCUAUGGGAAUGAAAAUGCCCUAGGAGAAAUCCUGUGGCAGCUUUGCUGAAGCAGGUGUGUGUGUGUGUGUGUGUGUGUGUGUGUGUGUGUGUAAGAACCCAUAUCCCAAAUUGUUAUAUGACUUCCACCACUUACAUCAGAAUCCCUUUCUCUUUCUACUGAAUGGCAUUCUUAGCUCCCAACACCCUCCCAGUUCUCAUGCCUGAAGGUCAACUGUGAUUUCAACUUGAUGCUUUUGCCCUAUUGGACACAUGAUUUUUUUUUAAGGUAACUUUUUUUUUUAAGUUUAAUUAUUUAUUUUGAGAAGACAGAGACAGCACAAGCAGGGGAGGGGUAGAGAGAGAGGGAGAGACAGAAUCCCAAGCAGGCUCCGUACUGCCAGCUGCAGAGCCCAAUGUGGGGCUGGAACCCAAGAGCUGUGAGAACAUGACCAGAGCUGAAACCAAGAGUCGGAUGCUUAACUGACUGAGCCACUCAGGUGCCCUGGACACAUGCUAUUUGUAAACCUAGGAAAAAGCAAGGAAAACUCCUUGGAGAUUGAUUUGGACACUUGAUCAAAAUGAAUCUUAUAAUUAAAAAUAUUGAUAACUCAAAUUCUUUAAAAAGGUAAAAAUCAGCUCAUUUCAAGCAAGCUCUCCUGCCGGCCACUUGGAAUAAAGUUAAAGCACCUUUUGAAUAGGUCAUCUGAAUGCAGUUUUCUCUUGUAAGUGGGUUUAAGCAGGAACAGGUUGCCAUUUCCUUGACAUCACUAUGUGCUGUUGCACAUGUCUGAAGUCCAGACAUGAAAUGAGGUGUGUGCGAGUGCGUGUGGGCAUAUGGGACCAGUUUUCCUCACAAUGACAAACACAUGAGUGGAUCCCAUGCUUAACCCCUGGUUGUGCAACUUCAAGCACACUGACAAUGAGACGAGCCCAAAGCUGUGCUGCUUGGCCUAGAAUGGAAAUUCUCCUGCAGACUCCUUUAACUUCUCUUCUAGUAAUGGCUGAAGACUUAAGAUGAAAACAGCAAGAUGCAAGAUAUUUGCAGAGUUUGUUUUGAGCACCAACUGGAUGGCUUUGCUUAAAGGACCACCAUGAGGACUGUUUCAGACAAGGAAUCUUCAAAGUUCUGCUCUUGAACCAUGGCAGCAAGAAGAGGAUAUAAGCUCAGUUUCUCUUUUUAACCCACUGAAAGGUUCUGUUAUGCAAAAGGUUCUAAAAGGUUCUUUGUGCUGGUACCAAAUCCCAGCGAUCACGAGAGAGCUUAGGUCUUUCUGGUGGACCCACCAACUUGAAUGAUGGUCUAUCAGCUUUGGAGAUUUGACCUUCUGAGAUUAGAGACAGCUGUGCAGAGAAAGAAUCUCCCCCAUCCCAUGUUCUACCAUUCCCACGGAAAUAAAUAUACUUUCAUUUGAGCCAGCUUAGACACAGAGGAGUCAACACUGGAGCAUUUAUCUGAAAAGAAAACCCAGGAAAACCCCUGACAUGUCUUGGAAAGACCUCUAAAAAUCUAGACAUGACUAUAGUUCAAAGGCCCAUGUUUUCUCCUCCCCCAGGCUCUCUCCUGGGGCAAUAGUUCUCAAUAUUCAAUCUGGAGGUUAACUUUUGGCUCUGCGAUCAACUCACUGGGUGGAGGGCUACUCAGGGAGCCCCAGCAUCUUCAUCUGUCAAUAAAUUACUUUUUGGGGCUACUAUGGGAAGUAAAGAGGAAAGUGAGUAUGGCGAUCUCAGCACAGUGAUGGUCACUAAAUCAAAACUAAAUAAAGACUCAGCAGAAUGUUAGCACCUACAUCCUUGGGCACAUUCACUGGUGGAGGGAGACUGUGACCUGGCAUGCCAGAAAACAUUAUACUUGCAAUUAUAAUCGCUCUUAGGAACAUUUUAAUUUUCCUAAAUGUUUAUUCAUUUUUGAGAGACAGAGACAGAGCGUGCGCGGGGGUGGGGCAGAGAGGGAGGGAGACACAGCAUCUGAAGCAGGCUCCAGGCUCUGAGCUGUCAGCACAGGGCCAGAUGCAGGGCUCAAACCUGCAAACCACGAGUUUAUGACCUGAGCCGAAGUCAGACACUUAACCAACUGAGCCAUCCAGGAGCCCUGCUCUUAUGAACAUUUUAAUAUACAGAUACAGACAUAUUCUGUGAAGCUGGGAAGUGCAUUAGAUUAGACAUGGUGAACAUAUUUAUUUUAAAAUAAAAAAGGUAAAUUCUGGCUAAGAAUGCAAUCGGUCAUUAAAUGGGUGGUCUGUGAGGACACAGAAGAGGAAGCAGUGUUAGAAGAAUGGGCAAGUGCCGGAUAAGGCAAUAUAUAUCCAGUGCCCAGUCCCUCAUGUGUUUUUUUAAGCCUAAAUGGGCAUACAUGGAAAAAGAAUUACGUGAACAGAAUCUAAGACUUUGAUUCAAGUCUUUGAAACAAGCUUGCUUUUUUGUUUUCUUUAAAUGUAUGCAUACAUAUACACAUGCAUUUAGUUCUGGGAAAGGAUCACAAUGAACUAUUAAUUUUAAACUCUGUGAGGACAGGCCAUGUCCCUGUUUUGUAGAACAGUGCCUGUCUCUAAAUAGCAUCUGUUGAAUGAAUGAGUAAAUAAGCAAUGAGUCAAUAAGCAAAUACCCAACCACUGUUGCAAAAGACUUGGGAAUAACCAGAAUGAGGUUUUAAUCAUAUUUGUUUCAUUUUGGGCAACAUCUAUUGCAUAUUUUAUAUUUUAGCUGGGUAUCUUUGGGAGAAUUGGUGAGUGUGUGUGUGUGUGUGUGUGUGUGUGUGUGUUACAAACUGUUGUCUGUUCUUAUAAAGUUGUGGGUGUUUUUUGUGGAGUGAUUGUGUUCCAAAAGACUCAGACCUGAUAUGGUGAGGACUUCUGGAAGCUUAUGGAGUUAAGGCGUGCACCCUUCACUUUGUGCAGCAGAAGGAUCUAUAACAACAAACUGGUCUACAUGUAGCUGUAUGUAAAUAUGACCGUUCCUUUACAUAUUGAAGUUGAACAAAUAUUAUCAGCAAUCACUAGGUGUCAUUGAUUUGCAAAGGAGCAAGCAGUAAGGGAAUGGGGGUUCUCAAUGUCAAUCCCCUUGGGAGAAAUUGCUCUUUGUCAUGGGAUGGUGCGCUGGGCCAUAGGAGGAGGGCUCUCUCUCUCUCUCUCUUUCUCUCUCUGCCUUCUCUCAGGUCCUCCUGGCAAAAGUCUGCACUCCAGAAAGAAAGUAGGAGAGCUGGACUUUGAGACAUGGUGGCAAAGUAGGAGCCAGGAAAGGGAAUUCCUAGGACCCGAGUAGGGUAAGCACGUGGGCUAGACUGCUAAGCAAAUACACCCGUUGAACAAGGUCAUCCAUAUGGUACUUCCAUGACUAGCUGGCCUUUUGGGAAAAUGAAUCCAACAGACUGUGAUCAUGUCAGUCACUCAUCUGGAUGACUGGGUUGGAAAAGUAUCUAAUGGUUUUUAAAGUAAAAGGGCUGGUGCCUCAUGAAUCUUCUCAUCACAAAUAUCUCUUCUCGCUGGGAAUGAUUCUCAGGUUCAAGAGCCUUGAUUUCAUCUUGUCUGUGUUUCCCCCCUUGUUUUUUUUUUUUUUUUUUUCAACGUUUAUUUAUUUUUGGGACAGAGAGAGACAGAGCAUGAACGGGGGCGGGGCAGAGAGAGAGGGUGACACAGAAUCGGAAACAGGCUCCAGGCUCUGAGCCAUCAGCCCAGAGCCUGACGCGGGGCUCGAACUCCCGGACCGCGAGAUCGUGACCUGGCUGAAGUCGGACGCUUAACCGACUGCGCCACCCAAGCGCUCCUCCCCCCUUGUUAAGAGAACAGAAUUAUGUUUCUCAGGUCUUCCCUUUACUUGCCCUACUAAAUUGGCAAACCUGUAGCAGAUAAUCUGGAAAAGGAAAGCGAAAGGAUCCGGCAUUUAUUAAUAAAGGAUCAGUUGUCUAUGAGAGGUGUUUUGCGUAUGUUAUUGAAUUCAUUCCUCUUGACAACCGUGACGCAUGAGUGUUAGU